UACAUAGGGUGCGAGCGUUAAUCGGAAUUACUGGGCGUAAAGCGUGCGCAGGCGGCUUUGCAAGACAGAUGUGAAAUCCCCGGGCUCAACCUGGGAACUGCAUUUGUGACUGCAAGGCUAGAGUACGGCAGAGGGGGAUGGAAUUCCGCGUGUAGCAGUGAAAUGCGUAGAUAUGCGGAGGAACACCAAUGGCGAAGGCAAUCCCCUGGGCCUGUACUGACGCUCAUGCACGAAAGCGUGGGGAGCAAACAGG
rnacentral:rRNA from 1 species